AUUUGCUUCAAACCACAACACAGUGGGGAUCUCAUGAACUUCAAGCCCAGUGAUUAUGAAUGCUUCCAGGAGUUGAUGUCACUAACCAGUGGCUUGACCAUUUCUCACUUAUGCUACAGAAAGUUUGAAUGAAUGCAGCCAUGAUACAGACACAGUUCUCCAGAGAAGCAGGCAGAACACAGUAAUGGCAAACAGUUCUGAGACAGGACAGGAAGAAUGUGGGGAAAAGUAGCUUUAUAAUGCAGCCUGCAGGAUCAGUAAUUUAAGGGGAAUCUCAUUAAAAACUCUGAACAGACAAACAAAGUGGUAAUGUAUUCUUAAUGAGGCAAGGUGAUUUCCUGCUGUGCAAAUGUGCAAAGACCUGUAAAGCUGCAGUUCUCCUUCCACUUGUUGAAGACAAUUGUAAGCACUGUCAAUGCGUCACUGUCCUAUUUACUGGUGAGACUGACCUAGUGAGCUGCAUGGAGGGACACCUCUGCCAACAAAAAGUAGAUUCCCAUUUGGAAGUUCAAAAUGGUGGAAGAUGCUUAUGGCAGAGGAAAAAGGGUAAAGAUGGCAGAUCACACAUGGAUCCUCAGCAAUGUGAGUGCUGUAUUUGA
rnacentral:lncRNA from 1 species